UUAGAGAAUAAGUUACUAUAUUAAUAUAUUAAUAGCGUUUUAUAUGUGCAUUUUCAUCAAACUAUUUAUUUAAAAUCUUGAGAUCAUUUAUUAUCUAAGAAGAUUAUCAACCUCUUUCUUUGUCUGUUUAUCGAAAAUUUGAGAUAUUUAUUUGGACUUGCAAAGCUACUCAACACAGAAGAAUGAAGAUCUUGCUUCAUCGGUUUUAACUAUACAUAGUUCUUGUGUGACACACAGCUAAGUAAAAAUGCACAAAUGACUGAAACUCAAUCUCAAAAUGAUAAAUAUCAAUGGAAGAUCAAAAAAGUCUUAGGGGAGAAUGAUGUGGCGCUACACCGAAUGUUCAAGUUCACAAGAAUAGAAGCAGAAUAUAUUUUUUGUAACAUUAGCAAUGACAAAGUUAAUAAAGCUAAGGAAGGAGGAGAUGUGAAGAUCAAGAUGGUGGACUUAGACACUCUAACUCAUCAUGAAUUGUCCUUGAGGAAAGUUAAGUCUGGCAAUGUUUUUGGGUUUAAGCUUGGUUGGUUGAGUCAUUUUGUGGUUAGGAGAAAGCUCAGAGUUGGUGAUGAGAUUGGGAUAUAUGUGGAUCCUAAUACUUCUGUGUUUUACUUUUCUGUGUUGUCUGUCUAGAGCGUAAUGUGGAACAAAUUAGAUCUAGUUUGGUAAACUAUAUUGUAUUGUACUGGAUAGUAUUGUGUUGAAUUGUAUUUGUUAUCUUUGUUUUCGAAAAAGGAACGCAUGUACUUUUAAGAUCCAAGAUCAAUUAAUAAAGACCCAAUUCACAGUCA